UACGUAGGGGGCAAGCGUUGUCCGGAAUCAUUGGGCGUAAAGCGCGUGUAGGCGGCUCGCUAAGUCUGUUCUGAAAGUCCAGGGCUCAGCCCUGGGAUGCGGAUGGAUACUGUCGAGCUCGAGUCCGGAAGAGGCGAGUGGAAUUCCUGGUGUAGCGGUGAAAUGCGCAGAUAUCAGGAGGAACACCAAUGGCGAAGGCAGCUCGCUGGGACGUGACUGACGCUGAGACGCGAAAGCGUGGGGAGCAAACAGG
rnacentral:rRNA from 1 species